rnacentral:snRNA from 1 species
GUGUUUACCUGGCGGGAAGAUACCAUGAUCAUGAAGGUAGUUUUCCCAGGGCAAGGUCUAUCCACUGUACUCCCAAUGUGGAAGCUCCCUUCAAGUUUCCCAAAUGUGGAAACUCAAUUCAUAAUUUGUGGUACAAACUGUAAUCACAUUC